AACGUAGGAGGCAAGCGUUAUCCGGAGUUACUGGGCGUAAAGCGUGCGUAGGCGGGCUUGUAAGUGGGUGGUGAAAGCGCCCGGCUAAACCGGGCGAUGUCCAUUCAGACUGCAGGUCUAGUGGCGGAUAGAGGAGUGCGGAAUUCCGGGUGUAGCGGUGAAAUGUGUAGAGAUCCGGAGGAACACCAGUGGUGCAAACGGCGCUCUGGGUCCGUACUGACGCUGAAGCACGAAAGCGUGGGGAGCGAACGGG
rnacentral:rRNA from 1 species